CAGGGAGAAGAAGGUCCAGAAGGAAGGCCAGGAUUUCCUGGUGUUGCAGGGCGCCCUGGUGAUGAAGGGCCCAAAGGAGAUAAAGGUGACCCAGGUUCCAAGGGUGAAGCAGGGCAAGAUGGUGCUAGAGUUGUGGGCCCACCAGGUCCUCCUGGACCACCAGGUCCUGUUAUAGCUAUU